GUACUCUCCCUGGAAACCUAGUUUUUACUACUACUACUACUACUACUAUUGCUGCUGUUGCCAUGGCAACAACUGCCAUCACAACAACUACUACCGUUCAUCCAGUUCAGCAAGGCAGAGUUCUCUGCUCAACCAACAAUAACAAUCAUGGUGAUUUAACAGGGAGAGUUGAGUUGCAGUACAAGGUGGCGCAUUAAAAAUGGUGGAGGGAGGUGACAUCUUGGAGGUUGUCCAGGACUCCCCGUUAUGUGCUGAAGCGCUACUGUAGAGAGAGGAAGAGAAGAAGACAACAGGUGACAGACAAAAGAGGAGCCCAUUGGCCAAGUGAAGAGUGGAAAUGGAAACAAAUGAAAAAGCACACAACAGCCUGGUAAAAGCAGCAGGGUCCUGCAGAUAUGAGCUGGCAUCUGACUGCCUGCUGUGUCUCCAACAUGGUCUGCCAGCCUGCUGAAGAUAGCCAAGGACAUCAAAGAAACCGCCAUCCAGACGCCCUCGUAGGUGACGCUAUUCCCUGCCAGCUUUUGGAUUUAUACACGCCAAAAUGACACAACCAUCUGAAUUGGAUACCUGACAAGAUCCUUUCAAUACGUUCAUUAUGGAUUUAAAAAAUCCCUGGAUUGCUGCGUUCCUUCUAGCCCACACUCAAACUAAUUCAAUGCUUCUAAAUCCAUGAGAGGUGGUGAACAAAUGUACGUGUCAGGAGAGAAUGGACCCGGGUUUGAUUGUCUGCCAACCUGAGGUCCUACGCUCUAGUCGUGUUUGUUGGUGACUAAAUGGCAGUGACAAUAUCCCUUUACGAAACACGA